ACCAGGAUGACAGGACUCCCACCCCUAAGAGCCAGCAGGAAGACAUCCAGUACAAACAGGUACACAGCAGCUGAGUGCUUGGUGCAUGUUCAAGAUUUCUAUUCAAGACUCUCGGAGGAAAACCAGUGACCUCCAGGAGGCCAGCUGCCUUUUCCCACAGAGCACAGUCAUCUGGCCUCCCUUCCAGCUCUACCAGGUUCCGUCUCCUCCCAGCUCACAUGUAUCAGGCAAAGGGCGAGACCCUAUGGUCAAACUGCAAAGCGACUGAAGCAUAUCAUCCGCCACUCUUAGAUACACAGCAAAGAAGAACAUCAAGAGGACAUUUCUAAUCCCUUUCCCUUCCUCCUCUUGUUCCUCUUCUAACCUCUUCCCAUGGAAAGCCACGGGAAGAGUCAUCAGAAGACAAACUCUCCAAAUAGAAAGCCAUCUGCCUCCAUGAAGAGGACACUUAGGCCCAGAAAACAAUGAGUCUCUGACAAAGACUAACAAGCACAAAAUUGCAGCGGGUAGGAGGAAAGGACCCUUGUCUGCCUGUUUCUUUCCUUCUAUCCUUGCAGGUCAGGGAUCUUCAGAAGCAGGGCUCAUUCUUCUUGCUUUGGGGAUGCAUCGUGUGUGUUUACUGCCCUGAAGAGCGCUAAACAACCACAGGAUUUCUAAAUAUUUGCAUUCCAUAACUGUCCUUGGGCAGAAUCUGCUGGGCU
rnacentral:lncRNA from 1 species